GACGAACGCUGGCGGCGUGCCUAAUACAUGCAAGUAGAACGCUGAAGCUUGGUGCUUGCACCGAGCGGAUGAGUUGCGAACGGGUGAGUAACGCGUAGGUAACCUGCCUGGUAGCGGGGGAUAACUAUUGGAAACGAUAGCUAAUACCGCAUAAGAGUAGAUGUUGCAUGACAUUUGCUUAAAAGGCGCAAUUGCAUCACUACCAGAUGGACCUGCGUUGUAUUAGCUAGUUGGUGAGGUAACGGCUCACCAAGGCAACGAUACAUAGCCGACCUGAGAGGGUGAUCGGCCAACCUGGGACUGAGACACGGCCCAGACUCCCACGGGGGGCAGCAGUACGGAAUCUUCGGCAAUGGGCGGAAGUCUGACCGAGCAACGCCGCGUGCGUGAAGAAGGUUUUCGGAUCGUAAAGCUCUGUUGUAAGGGAAGAACGAGUGUGAGAAUGGAAAGUUCACCCUGUGACGGUAUCUUACAAGAAAGGGACGGCUAACUACGUG
rnacentral:rRNA from 1 species